rnacentral:misc_RNA from 1 species
ACUGGCAAUCUACCUGAUUUGAGGUCAAUUGGUCAAGUAGAUUGUCCUUGCAGGACGGUUAGAAGCAAGCACGAGUCCAAUCCACGGCGUAGAUAAUUAUCACACCAAUAGACGGAGGCUCAGUAUGAGCUCGCUAAUGCAUUUCAGGGGAGCAGACCAGCACUGAGGCAGCCUGCAAAACCCCCACAUCCAAGCCUUCACCUGUCUCGUUACAAAACUGGUGAGGUUGAGAAUUUAAUGACACUCAAACAGGCAUGCUCCUCGGAAUACCAAGGAGCGCAAGGUGCGUUCAAAGAUUCGAUGAUUCACUGAAUUCUGCAAUUCACAUUACUUAUCGCAUUUCGCUGCGUUCUUCAUCGAUGCGAGAGCCAAGAGAUCCGUUGCUGAAAGUUGUAUAGUGUUUUAUAGGCAUGAAAGCCCAUUGACUACAUUCUACAUCAUUCAAAUGGGGUGUGUAAAAGACAUAGACCUGGAAAUUCAAAGAGAGCCGGCCUUGUCGACACAGCAAUCCUUGCAUCCGCUUUGUCACCAAAGCGAGAGGUAUCCAGACCUACACAUAGUUCACAGGUGGAAAGAUGAUAUGAAUGACGGGCGUGCACAAAUGCUUCUAGAAGCCAGCUACAACCAACGCCAUAGAUAUUCGUUAAUGAUCCUUCCGCAGGUACCCCUAUACGGAGGG